AUCGCUUCUCGGCCUUUUGGCUAAGAUCAAGUGUAGUAUCUGUUCUUAUCAGUUUAAUAUCUGAUACGUCCCCUACCCGGGGACCAUAUAUUAAAUUGAUUUUUGGAGAGAUUUGCUCCGUCCACUCCACACAUCGACCCAGUAUUGCAGUACUUCUGGAAACGGUGCACCCCAU
rnacentral:snRNA from 1 species